rnacentral:rRNA from 1 species
AGUGGAUGGGGAGCAACCUAGUUGUGCGUGUGUAAAGGUAGUGCCAAGAAAAGCGAUGAUCAUGUUGAAAAUCAAUUCCCGGUACCCGAAACCGACACAGGUGGGCAAGUAGAGAAUACUAAGGGGCGCGAGGUAACUCUCUCCAAGGAACUCGGCAAAAUGACCCCGUAACUUAGGGAGAAGGGGUGCCACCGAGAGGUGGUCGCAGUGAAGAGGCCCAGGCGACUGUUUAGCAAAAACAUAGGUCUCUGCAAACUCGAAAGAGGAGGUAUAGGGGCUGACGCCUGCCCAGUGCCGGAAGGUUAAAGAAGUUGGUCAGUUUUAGGAUGAAGCUAGCGACUGAAGCCCCGGUGAACGGCGGCCGUAACUAUAACGGUCCUAAGGUAGCGAAAUUCCUUGUCGGGUAAGUUCCGACCCGCACGAAAGGCGUAACGAUCUUGGCGCUGUCUCGGAGAGAGGCUCGGCGAAAUAGGAUUGUCUGUGAAGAUACGGACUACCUGCAUUUGGACAGAAAGACCCUAUGAAGCUUUACUAUAGCUUGGAAUUGUGUUCGGGCUUCCUGUGCGCAGGAUAGGUGGGAGGCGAAGAAGGUAUUCUUGUGGGGAUACUGGAGCCAACGGUGAGAUACCACUCUCAGGAGGCUAGAAUUCUAACUUAAUUAAGGACAGUUUCAGGUGGGUAGUUUGACUGGGGCGGUCGCCUCCAAAAAGGUAACGGAGGCGUACAAAGGUUCCCUCAGACUGGUUGGAAAUCAGUCGAAGAGUGCAAAGGCAGAAGGGAGCUUGACUGCGAGAAGUACAGUUCGAGCAGGGUGGAAACACGGUCUUAGUGAUCCGACGGUGCUGUGUGGAAGGGCCGUCGCUCAACGGAUAAAAGUUACUCUAGGAUAACAGGCUGAUCUCCCCCAAGAGUUCACAUCGACGGGGAGGUUUGGCACCUCGAUGUCGGCUCAUCGCAACCUGGGGCGGAAGUACGUCCCAAGGGUUGGGCUGUUCGCCCAUUAAAGCGGUACGUGAGCUGGGUUCAGAACGUCGUGAGACAGUUCGGUCCAUAUCCGAUGUAGGCGUGAGAAUAUUGAGAGGAGCCUUCCUUAGUACGAGAGGACCGGGAAGGACGCACCGCUGGUGUACCUGUUAUGAUGCCAAUUGUAAACGCAGGGUAGCCAAGUGCGGAGAGGAUAACCGCUGAAAGCAUCUAAGUGGGAAGCCCACCUCAAGAUGAGUAUUCUGGUGUAAGGUCACGGGAAGACGACCCGUAAAUAGGCACGAGGUGGAAGUGCAGAGAUGUAUGAAGCCGAAGUGUACUAAUAGACCGUCGGCUUGACU